UCAAGUGACUAAGAGCAUAUGGUGGAUGCCUUGGCGAUUACAGGCGAUGAAAGACGUGAUAGCCUGCGAAAAGCUUCGGGGAGCUGGCAAAUAAGCUUUGAUCCGGAGAUGUCUGAAUGGGGAAACCCACCCGCAAGGGUAUCAACAGCUCAAUACAUAGGCUGUUGAAGCGAACCUGGAGAACUGAAACAUCUAAGUACCCAGAGGAAAAGAAAUCAACCGAGAUUCCGAUAGUAGUGGCGAGCGAAUUCGGAAGAGCCUUCUAGUGAUAGUCGACGAGUUAACAAAACGGCAUGGAAAGGCCGGCCAUAGUAGGUGAUAGCCCUGUAUGUGAAAACUUGUCGGUGGUACUGAGCUAGAGAAAAGUAGGGCGGGACACGUGUAAUCCUGUCUGAAUAUGGGGGGACCAUCCUCCAAGGCUAAAUACUCGUAAUCGACCGAUAGUGAACCAGUACCGUGAGGGAAAGGCGAAAAGAACCCCGGGAGGGGAGUGAAAUAGAUCCUGAAACCGUAUGCUUACAAAAAGUCGGAGCCUCGUAAGGGGUGACGGCGUACCUUUUGUAUAAUGGGUCAGCGACUUACAUUCAGUGGCAAGCUUAACCGAGUAGGGAAGGCGUAGAGAAAUCGAGUCCGAAUAGGGCGUUUUUAGUCGCUGGGUGUAGACCCGAAACCAAGUGAUCUAACCAUGGCCAGGAUGAAGGUGCCGUAACAGGUACUGGAGGUCCGAACCGACUGAUGUUGCAAAAUCAGCGGAUGAGCUGUGGUUAGGGGUGAAAGGCUAAACAAACUUGGAAAUAGCUGGUUCUCUCCGAAAACUAUUUAGGUAGUGCCUCAAGUAUUACCUGCGGGGGUAGAGCACUGUUUUGGCUAGGGGGUCAUGGCGACUUACCAAACCAAGGCAAACUCCGAAUACCGCAGAGUACAGCUUGGGAGACAGAGCACCGGGUGCUAACGUCCGGACUCAAGAGGGAAACAACCCAGACCGCCAGCUAAGGUCCCUAAAAUUGGCUAAGUGGGAAACGAAGUGGGAAGGCUAAAACAGUCAGGAUGUUGGCUUAGAAGCAGCCAUCAUUUAAAGAAAGCGUAAUAGCUCACUGAUCGAGUCGUCCUGCGCGGAAGAUGUAACGGGGCUAAGCCAGUUACCGAAGCUGCGGAUGUGCAAUUUAUUGCACGUGGUAGGAGAGCGUUCUGUAAGCCUGUGAAGGUGUCUGGUAACGGAUGCUGGAGGUAUCAGAAGUGCGAAUGCUGACAUGAGUAGCGUUAAAAGGGGUGAAAAGCCCCUUCGCCGUAAGCGCAAGGUUUCCUACGCAACGUUCAUCGGCGUAGGGUGAGUCGGCCCCUAAGGCGAGGCAGAGAUGCGUAGCUGAUGGGAAACAGGUCAAUAUUCCUGUACCGAUCAAUAGUGCGAUGUGGGGACGGAGAAGGUUAGCUCAGCCACCUGUUGGAAUAGGUGGUUCAAGCGUGUAGUCGUGCCUGGUAGGCAAAUCCGCCGGGCUUAGAUGAGGCGUGAUAACGAGUGUGCUUGCACACGAAGUGAGUGAUACCCUGCUUCCAGGAAAAGCCACUAAGCUUCAGCUAUUGAUUGACCGUACCGCAAACCGACACUGGUGCGCGAGAUGAGUAUUCUAAGGCGCUUGAGAGAACUCUGGAGAAGGAACUCGGCAAAUUGAUACCGUAACUUCGGGAGAAGGUAUGCCCUCGGUAUGUGAAGUUGAACAAACGGAGCAGAAAAGGGUUGCAAAAAAUCGGUGGCUGCAACUGUUUAAUAAAAACACAGCACUCUGCAAACACGAAAGUGGACGUAUAGGGUGUGACGCCUGCCCGGUGCUGGAAGAUUAAAUGAUGGGGUGCAAGCUCUUGAUUGAAGUCCCAGUAAACGGCGGCCGUAACUAUAACGGUCCUAAGGUAGCGAAAUUCCUUGUC
rnacentral:rRNA from 1 species